rnacentral:rRNA from 1 species
CCCGUGAACCUUUACUAUAGCUUGACACUGAACACUGGUCCUUGAUGUGUAGGAUAGGUGGGAGGCUUUGAAGCGUGGACGCCAGUCUGCGUGGAGCCGCCCUUGAAAUACCACCCUUUAAUGGCUGGUGUUCUAACGUAGACCCGUAAUCCGGGUUGCGGACAGUGUCUGGUGGGUAGUUUGACUGGGGCGGUCUCCUCCCAAAGAGUAACGGAGGAGCACGAAGGUUGGCUAAUCCUGGUCGGAC